rnacentral:rRNA from 1 species
AUCCUGGAGAGAUUUGGGAGUGCUCGAAAGAGAGCCUGAACACAGGUGCUGCAUGGCUGUCGUCAGCUCGUGUCGUGAGAUGUUGGGUUAAGUCCCGCAACGAGCGCAACCCUUGUCAUUAAUUGCCAUCAUUCAGUUGGGCACUUUAAUGAGACUGCCGGUGACAAACCGGAGGAAGGUGGGGAUGACGUCAAGUCCUCAUGGCCCUUAUGGGUAGGGCUUCACACGUCAUACAAUGGUCGGUUCAGAGGGCUGCCAACCCGCGAGGGGGAGCCAAUCUCAGAAAGCCGAUCGUAGUCCGGAUCGCAGUCUGCAACUCGACUGCGUGAAGUCGGAAUCGCUAGUAAUCGCGGAUCAGCAUGUCGCGGUGAAUACGUUCCCGGGUCUUGUACACACCGCCCGUCACACCAUGGGAGCGGGUUCUGCCAGAAGUAGUUAGCCUAACCGCAAGGAGGGCGAUUACCACGGCAGGGUUCGUGACUGGGGUGAAGUCGUAACAAGGUAGCCGUAGGGGAACCUGCGGCUGGAUCACCUCCUUUCU